rnacentral:rRNA from 1 species
GACGAACCGUGCAACCGUUGUUCGGAAUCACUGGGCUUAAAGGGCGCGUAGGCGGCUCGCCAAGUCGGGGGUGAAAUCUUUCGGCUCAACCGGAAAAGUGCCUUCGAUACUGGCGGGCUGGAGGGAGGUAGGGGCAUGUGGAACUUCCGGUGGAGCGGUGAAAUGCGUUGAUAUCGGAAGGAACGCCGGUGGCGAAAGCGACGUGCUGGACCUCUUCUGACGCUGAGGCGCGAAAGCUAGGGGAGCGAACGGG